rnacentral:rRNA from 1 species
AAAGACUCAGUCCUAACCUUACCGUUGAUUAUUACCAAACAUAUACAUGCAAGUAUCCGCGCCCCAGUGUAAAUGCCCUCAGACACCUUACCAAGACAAAAGGAGCAGGUAUCAGGCACACCACGACUGUAGCCCAAAACACCUUGCUCAGCCACACCCCCACGGGUACUCAGCAGUAAUUAACAUUAAGCAAUAAGUGUAAACUUGACUUAGUUAUGGUAAACCUAAGGGCUGGUUAAUCUUGUGCCAGCCACCGCGGUCAUACAAGAAACCCAAACCAACGGCAGCACGGCGUAAAGAGUGACAUGACAAUAUCCUCCAAGCUAAGAUCGAAACACAACUGAGCUGUCUAUAAGCACAAGAUGUGCAGAAGAACCCCCAAAAGAAGGUCCUAGUUAGCACGA